GAGUGACAGGUUGGUAGAGGUCAGAGGUCAUUCCACCCUCAACGUACAACUUUUCUACCGUGUUUGAGGUUUUGCUACAUUUUAAAUCCAAAUGACUCCUGAGUCUUAUUGCUGCCGCUACGGAACCUCGAACAAUAAACUUGUCUUCGACCUCGAAGCUGAUGUCGUUUUUGAACGCCAGGAAGUCAAAGAGGAGCUGGAAGAGGCGACAGACGAGACACAAGAAGUGGCUGAUAGUUUGCAUCAAAGCAUCUAGUAGAGGACGGGAGGAUGAAGUUCUCUUAAGUGGGUUUGCCGUGACCCAGAAUCCAAGGUUGCUGCGGCCACAACGCAGACGCGGCCGACUCUUAAGCAGACCUUGAACAACAAAGUCUUCUUGGCAUCGUCACCCCCCACUGCUGCGGGCCACACUCUGACAAACCAUACAUGUUCAUAACUCCACGCAGGAAUGACUUCUUGGCAUUUCAUAUAAGCAGCGUGCCACAGACCUAAAACAACUGGAGUGUAUCCUUGGCACAAAAGUUUGACUUCCUCCCCCGAGGCAGCUCACGGAUGAGAGUCAGCGUCUCCGAGAUUGCGGCCGCGGUACACUCUGCAGGAGGACCUCUCAUCGCCCGUCUGAAACGGCACAUCCCUCCCUCUGGUUUGAGAGCGAGCUGCCGCCCCGGAUGUGACGUCAGGUAUGUGACAAGUCACGUUUUCAGCAUGAGGACAACUCACGUAGUAAUACCACGCAGGGACUCAAACAUACGCAACAAUGGAGUGAGGUGAGAGAUGGCGUUUUCUAGCUGGAAAUACCACCACUAUUUUGAAGGAGAAGAGGAGGGGCUCCUAAUCAUCAGUGACUGCCUCUGUUAUUGAUCACAUUGUCAUUCACACAUGCACAGGCAGCUGCUGAACAAAGAAAAUGCCGACUCCAAAUAAUUUUCCCCGCAUCGCUUCACCAACCCUAAACGCCACAUACAGUGCAUACCCACUUUUUGCACCACUGCUGAUGGAUAUAAAACAAUUGUCCUUGAGUUGGACAUAAAAUAAAUAAAUCAUCAGACGUUGCCCUGUGGCCCCAAUAAGCAAACAAAUAAAAUAGAUAGUUUGGUUCUCUUCCACAUGCUUGUACCCAUUAUAUAUACCCAUAUUUAACUUAAAGUGCUGCAAAGUUAACAUUUUGGCCCACAACUUUCUCCCUGGAUUCAAUUUUGACCCUCCACUGGGAACAAUUUCGGCACCCCGUAGACGCUGGUGGUGGUGGAGCAGCAGAUGAGGUUAGCAGGUGGCUGUAGGAGACCUCCGGUGAGACUCAGGGAAGGCCGACCAGGGAAAUCAAAAGAGAUUAAGAAAAAGUAUUCACGGUAGAGGAAGAGAAGAAGCACUUCUUUCAUUUAUUAUCAUGUAAUAUAAAGUUAUGUCAAUACUGGAAUACCUUUCAUCUAAUGAGAAGAUGUUACGCGAUGAAGGACGGUUGCCUUUCUACAUUUUAAUUUAAUAUAAAUGUGAAGGUAUGCCAGAGAAAGUGGCAGCAAAGCAUCAAUGCCAAACCUGUUGGAAAUGAAAGAAAUCGCACUGAACCAUUUCUUUCUAUUACAUUUUUGCACACAUGAGCCGUGGUAUCUAUUACUUUUUACACCAUAAAUAUGCAAUAAAAACCACCAGGUGCGUAAACUCAGUGAAAAAUGUUCUUCUUUUUUCUUAUUGCCUCUCUUGAGCUUUCUCUCUCGCAUUGUUUUUUUUUUUUUUUUUUUUGGAUGCUGCUGCUCCAAGUGAUUCGGCUCCACUGAGCCAUCACUCAGAUGUAACCUCAGCACUUUCACAGAACACUGGCCCGCGCACUGUUGUCGGCGUCUGUGAGUAAAACUUUGAUUGUUUCUCUCCUCCUAUUCUCCCCUUCACUUCCCCUUCACAGCUCCCUCAGCCUGGUGUAUCCUUCUGUCUUUUUACCCCUCACCUACUUUCCCUUCAUUUCACAAUACCUUUCUUUCUUUUCUUUUUUUUUACUCUCUUCCUUUCUCUCUCCUACUUCCUCUCCCAAUCUGUUCAUCUCAACACGUGUGUCAGUUUGUACGGGGUGGCUCUUGUCGCCAUGGCGAUGCCGAGACGAGCAUAUCAUGGAGAGAAAGCACGACGGAGGGGCUGAAGGGACAGAUGCACCGAGCGAGGUAUAGUGGAGGAGAGAUGGAGCGACAUCUGAUGUUCUCUCGCUGGGGCAGCCAUGAGUGCAGUCACAAUCUGUAAACACACACACACACAGACACACACAGACACACACACACAAACUCUUGGGACGUGAACACAGGGGAAAUCUGUAGCCUCUCAAACAGAGAAAAUUAACACAACAGGAAAUUGGUUUCUGCUUUCGUGCAAAUGUGACAGUAUAUCCCUUGACAAAUGAUGUAUGUGUAUAUGAAUGAUGAGUGCAAUUUAUUCAGCUACAAAAAACAAAGAUGGAAGAUGAUGGUUAGGAUUGGGAAUGAAGAAGAACAACAAAACACAAGCAUCGGUCGUUCAAGUGAUACUUCACAAUUUUGGGAAAUAUAUUGUUCCUUUUCUGAUAGAGAUGACCGGCUAGUCAUGUUCAAGACUAUAUGUUAAGGAUAAAGCUACAGUCAGAAGCUUGUUAGCUUAGCAUAAGUCCAGGAAAAAUAUAUAAACAAAUAGCCUGGUUUCUCAAUUGAUACAGUUGUAAAGUUAUAUUUUGUUAUUUAAUUUGCCACAGGGAACUGUUAAACAUCCCAGACACUUGCACAUUUCACAGAUUGAAUACAUAUAAUAAUUUCCGAGCUUCAUAUGUGCCACUAGGGUGACGCAGGUUAGCACUUAUGCCUCCUGGCAAGAAGGGGAGCUCGGGCCUUUUGCAUGUUCUGCGUUUUCUAAUGUGUGGGCUAAUUGUUAGGCUAAGAUGUGAAUGGUUGUUUGUCUAUGUGUUAGCCCUGCGAUAGACUGGCGCCCUGUCCAGGCCUCUUGCCCAAUGAAGCCGGGGUAGGCUCCAGCAACCCCCGCGACCCUCGUGAGGAUGAGCGGUAGCAGCAGAUGAGAUAUGUGCUACUAAGAGGAAUUUAUUACCUAAUCAACUGUUAGCAUAGC